UCAAGCGACUAAGUGUAUGUGGUGGAUGCCUUGGCGAUUACAGGCGAUGAAGGACGUCGCAGCCUGCGAAAAGCCGUGGGGAGCUGGCAAGCGAGCACUGAUCCACGGAUGUCCGAAUGAGGGAACUCACCCGCAAGGGUAUCUUGAAGUGAAUACAUAGCUUCAAGAGGCGAACGCAGCGAACUGAAACAUCUAAGUAGCUGCAGGAAAAGAAAUCAACCGAGAUUCUGAAAGUAGCGGCGAGCGAAAUUGGAAGAGCCUGCAAGUGAUAUUGAAUUCGAUACUGGAACGGUCUGGAAAGUCCGGCUACAGAGGGUGAUAGCCCCGUACGGGAAAUUGGGUUCAAAGUACUGAGCUUGCGAGAAGUAGAGCGGGACACGUGAAAUCCUGCUCGAAGAUGGGGGGACCAUCCUCCAAGGCUAAAUACUCGUAAUCGACCGAUAGCGAACCAGUACUGUGAAGGAAAGGCGAAAAGAACCCCGGGAGGGGAGUGAAAUAGAUCCUGAAACCGCAUACAUACAAACAGUAGGAGCCCGCAAGGGUGACUGCGUACCUUUUGCAUAAUGGGUCAGCGACUUACGUUCAAUGGCAAGCUUAACCGAGUAGGGGAGGCGCAGCGAAAGCGAGUCCGAACAGGGCGACAUGAGUCGUUGGGCGUAGACCCGAAACCAGAUGAUCUAUCCAUGGCCAGGCUGAAGGUGUGGUAACACACACUGGAGGGCCGAACCGACUAGUGUUGCAAAAUUAGCGGAUGAGCUGUGGAUAGGGGUGAAAGGCUAAACAAAUCUGGAGAUAGCUGGUUCUCCCCGAAAACUAUUGAGGUAGUGCCUCGUGUAUGGCUCCAGGGGGUAGAGCACUGUUAUGGCUAGGGGGACAUGGCGUCUUACCAAACCAUGGCAAACUCCGAAUACUUGGAAGUCUGAGCACGGGAGACAGAGCACCGGGUGCUAACGUCCGGACUCAAAAGGGAAACAACCCAGACCGCCGGCUAAGGUCCCUAAUAUUGACUAAGUGGAAAACGAAGUGGGAAGGCUAAGACAGUCAGGAAGUUGGCUUAGAAGCAGCCAUCCUUCAAAGAAAGCGUAAUAGCUCACUGAUCGAGUCUUCCUGCGCGGAAGAUGUAACGGGGCUAAGUCAAUAACCGAAGCCGCGGAUUCGCAGCAAUGCGAGUGGUAGGGGAGCGUUCUGUAAGCCUGCGAAGGCGGAUCCGCGAGGACCGCUGGAGGUAUCAGAAGUGCGAAUGCUGACAUGAGUAACGUUAAAGCGGGUGAAAAGCCCGCUCGCCGCAAGCCCAAGGUUUCCUGCUCUACGUUCAUCGGAGCAGGGUGAGUCGGCCCCUAAGGUCAGGCUGAGAAGCGUAGCUGAUGGGAAGCUGGUUAAUAUUCCAGCACCGAUUUCAAGUGCGAAGGGGGGACGGAGUCCUGAAGGUCAUCCGGGUGUUGGAUAUCCCGGUUUACGAGCGUAGGAGGUUGACAGGCAAAUCCGUCAACGGAUCUCCAAGGCGAAGGAUCGAGGUUGAGAGAUCAACUGAAGUGACUGAAUGGGCUUCCAGGAAAAGCCUCUAAGCAUCAGCUUGGAAUUGACCGUACCGCAAACCGACACUGGUGGGCGAGCUGAAUAUGCUCAGGCGCUUGAGAGAACUCAGGAGAAGGAACUCGGCAAAUUGACACCGUAACUUCGGGAUAAGGUGUGCCUUUGUAGUGUGAAGGGAGAAACACCCCGAGCAUGAAGAGGCCUCAGAGAAUCGGUGGCUGCAACUGUUUACUAAAAACACAGCACUCUGCAAAGAUGAAAGUCGACGUAUAGGGUGUGAUGCCUGCCCGGUGCUGGAAGAUUAAUUGAUGGGGUGCAAGCUCCUGAUCGAAGUCCCAGUAAACGGCGGCCGUAACUAUAACGGUCCUAAGGUAGCGAAAUUCCUUGUC
rnacentral:rRNA from 1 species